GGAUGUGAGGGCGAUCCGGCUGCGACAUCUGUCACCCCAUUGAUGGCCAGGGUUGAUUCGGCUGAUCUGGCCUGCUGGGCGGGUGUCCCCUACCUCCCUCAACGCUCCAUGUGCGUCCCUCCCGGAGCUGCGCGCUCAGUCAAAGAGGACGACCACCCCCGAUAGAGGAGGACCGUUCCUUGGUCAAGGGUGUACGAGCAGCUGCGCUCCCCUGCUAGAACCUCCAAACAAGCUCUCAGAUUCUGGGCUCCAGGUUCUGGGCUC
rnacentral:sRNA from 1 species